rnacentral:rRNA from 1 species
UAGUCCUAGCCGUAAACGAUGGGCACUAGGUGUUGGAGGAGUCUACCCCUCCAGUGCCGCAGCUAACGCAUUAAGUGCCCCACCUGGGGAGUACGAUCGCAAGGUUGAAACUCAAAGGAAUUGACGGGGGCCCGCACAAGCGGUGGAGCAUGUGGUUUAAUUCGAUGCAACGCGAAGAACCUUACCUGGACUUGACAUACUGUGGACCGGUGUGGAGACACACUUUUCCCCUUGUGGGACUACAGUACAGGUGCUGCAUGGCUGUCGUCAGCUCGUGUCGUGAAAUGUUGGGUUAAGUCCCGCAACGAGCGCAACCCUUGUCCUUAGUUGCCAACAGAUAAUGCUGGGGGACUCUAAGGAGACUGCCGGUGACAAACCGGAGGAAGGUGGGGAUGACGUCAAGUCCUCAUGGCCCUUACGUCCAGGGCUACACACGUGCUACAAUGGUCGGUACAAUGGGCAGCAAGACCGCAAGGUGGAGCGAAUCCCAAAAAGCUAGGCCUCAGUUCGGAUC